rnacentral:rRNA from 1 species
UACAUGUGGGGCAAGCGUUGUUCGGAAUUACUGGGCCUAGAGGGUGCGUAGGCGGUUUGUUAAGUCACUGGUGAAAGUUUUCGGCCCAACCGGAAAAUUGCCUGUGAUACUGGCGAACUUGAGUGCGUGAGGGGUGGGGGGAACGAGCAGUGUAGCGGUGAAAUGCGUAGAUAUUGCUCGGAAGGCCGGAGCCGAAGGGGCCCCACUGGUACGUAACUGACGCUGAGGCACGAAAGCGUGGGGAGCAAACAGG